rnacentral:rRNA from 1 species
GACGAACGCUGGCGGCGUGCUUAACACAUGCAAGUCGAACGGGUCUGCCCUGUUUUUUGCGGGGUGGGUCAGUGGCGAACGGGUGAGUAACACGUGAGUAACCUGCCCCUCACUUCUGGAUAACCGCUUGAAAGGGUGGCUAAUACGGGGUGUUCUGGCUGUGCCGCAUGGUGUGGCUGGGAAAGAUUCACUUUUGUGGUGUUUUGGUGGGGGAUGGGCUCGCGGCCUAUCAGCUUGUUGGUGGGGUGAUGGCCUGCCAAGGCUUUGACGGGUAGCCGGCCUGAGAGGGUGGGCGGUCACACUUGGACUGAGAUACGGCCCAGACUCCUGCGGGAGGCAGCAGUGGGGGGUAUUGCACAAUGGGCGGAAGCCUGAUGCAGCGACGUCGCGUGAGGGAUGGAGGCCUUCGGGUUGUGAACCUCUUUCGCCGGUGAAGAAGGUCCUGCUCUUUGUGGUGGGGUUGACGGUAGCCGGGUUAUGAAGCGCCGGCUAACUACGUG